rnacentral:rRNA from 1 species
ACUGUGAAACUGCGAAUGGCUCAUUAAAUCAGUUAUCGUUUAUUUGAUAGUACCUUACUACUUGGAUACCCGUGGUAAUUCUAGAGCUAAUACAUGCUAAAAACCCCGACUUCGGGAGGGGUGUGUUUAUUAGAUAAAAAACCAAUGCCCUUCGGGGCUUCUUGGUGAUUCAUGAUAACCAAACGAAUCGCAUGGCCUUGAGCCGGCGAUGGUUCAUUCAAAUUUCUGCCCUAUCAACUUUCGAUGGUAGGAUCUGGGCCUACCAUGGUAUCAACGGGUAACGGGGAAUUAGGGUUCGAUUCCGGAGAGGGAGCCUGAGAAACGGCUACCACAUCCAAGGAAGGCAGCAGGCGCGCAAAUUACCCAAUCCCGACACGGGGAGGUAGUGACAAUAAAUACUGAUACAGGGCUCUUUUGGGUCUUGUAAUCGGAAUGAGUACAAUUCAAAUCUCUUAACGAGGAACAAUUGGAGGGCAAGUCUGGGGCCAGCAGCCGCGGUAAUUCCAGCUCCAAUAGCGUAUAUUAAAGUUGUUGCAGUUAAAAAGCUCGUAGUUGAACCUUGGGCCAGGCUGGCCGGUCCGCCUAACCGCGUGCACUGGUCCGGCCGGGCCCUUUCCUCUGGGGAGCCGCAUGCCCUUCACUGGGCGUGUCGGGGAACCAGGACUUUUACUUUGAAAAAAUUAGAGUGUUCAAAGCAGGCCUUUGCUCGGAUACAUUAGCAUGGAAUAAUAGAAUAGGACGUGCGGUCCUAUUUUGUUGGUUUCUAGAACCGCCGUAAUGAUUAAUAGGGACAGUCGGGGGCAUCAGUAUUCAGACGCGAGAGGUGAAAUUCUUAGACCGUCUGAAGACUAACUACUGCGAAAGCAUUUGCCAAGGAUGUUUUCAUUAAUCAGUGAACGAAAGUUGGGGGAUCGAAGACGAUCAGAUACCGUCGUAGUCUCAACCGUAAACUAUGCCGACUAGGGAUCGGGCGACGUUCCAAUUAUGACUCGCCCGGCAC